CCUACGGGAGGCAGCAGUGGGGAAUCUUGCACAAUGGAGGAAACUCUGAUGCAGCGAUGCCGCGUGAGUGAAGAAGGCCUUUGGGUUGUAAAGCUCUUUUGUAGGGGAAGAUAAUGACUGUACCCUAAGAAUAAGGUCCGGCUAACUUCGUGCCAGCAGCCGCGGUAAUACGAAGGGACCUAGCGUAGUUCGGAAUUACUGGGCGUAAAGCGCGCGUAGGCCGUUGAGUUAGUUAAUUGUGAAAUCCCAAAGCUUAACUUUGGAACUGCAAUUAAAACUGCUCGACUAGAGUUUGAUAGAGGAAAGCGGAAUACAUAGUGUAGAGGUGAAAUUCGUAGAUAUUAUGUAGAACACCAGUUGCGAAGGCGGCUUUCUGGAUCAACACUGACGCUGAGGCGCGAAAGUAUGGGUAGCAAAGAGGAUUAGAUACCCUCGUAGUCCAUACCAUAAACGAUGAUUGCUAGAUGUUGGAAAUUUAUUUUCAGUAUCGCANUACNCAUANANAUCNCUGGNGUACGACGCAGUAACUACAANANAUGNGCGNGAGAGNGCGAGCGACACGAGGAGAGG
rnacentral:rRNA from 1 species